GUAGGUAUAGUUUAACCAAAACGUUAGAUUGUGAUUCUAGAAACAGAGGUUAAACCCCUCUUACCCACC
rnacentral:tRNA from 1 species